AGUGAACGCUGGCGGUAGGCCUAACACAUGCAAGUCGAACGGCAGCACAGUAAGAGCUUGCUCUUACGGGUGGCGAGUGGCGGACGGGUGAGGAAUACAUCGGAAUCUACUUUUUCGUGGGGGAUGACGUAGGGAAACUUACGCUAAUACCACAUACGACCUACGGGUGAAAGCAGGGGAUCUUCGGACCUUGCGCGAUUGAAUGAGCCGAUGUCGGAUUAGCUAGUUGGCGGGGUAAAGGCCCACCAAGGCGACGAUCCGUAGCUGGUCUGAGAGGAUGAUCAGCCACACUGGAACUGAGACACGGUCCAGACUCCUACGGGAGGCAGCAGUGGGGAAUAUUGGACAAUGGGCGCAAGCCUGAUCCAGCCAUACCGCGUGGGUGAAGAAGGCCUUCGGGUUGUAAAGCCCUUUUGUUGGGAAAGAAAAGCAGCAGGUUAAUACCCCGCUGUUCUGACGGUACCCAAAGAAUAAGCACCGGCUAACUUCGUG
rnacentral:rRNA from 1 species